ensembl:lncRNA
UUUUCUUUAACCUACAGACAUGUCUUUCUUUUCUACAUCUUAUUGGUUCUACUAUGCCUUCAGAUGCAAAUAUGAGCCCUUUCAAGAGGCCCUGAAAGUUUUUGAGCAGGAGGCAGGAAAAGAGAGAUCAUUAUUUGCAUUACCUUCAGAGCACUAAGCACUUUUGAUGACUCUUUUUGGCAAUAAACAUGGCAGAUACUGGUGGUUAGUACACCCUAUAGCCAAACACUUUCUUCCUCCUCCUUUGCUAAUAGAAUUUGAUUUGAAGUAAAUGGCAACGUACUAAGCUCUAGGAAGGUAAUCAUGAUUGGUCCAAGUUGCUUCCCUUCUCCAGUGGUUGUUCAGGGAUCGUCAUGUGCCCCAGUUUUGGUGAAUAUAUCAUAAGGGAAGUCUGCUGGAGGCUUCUAGGAAAGGCUUUCCUUUCCCUCAAGAUGCAUAAGAAGAGAAAGCUCUUUUACUUCCCUCCCUCCUUUUCUGUUUUAAACAAAAUCAGGCAAGGACUUGAAUUAUGGAGGUGAAGCAGCUUCCUAGUGACCAUGAAAUUACAAAUCUGAGAAUGAAAGCUAACAUCUCAUAACAAUAUAAUGAAAAAAUGGAAAGAGCCUGGGCCUUUAAUGACUUCAUUGAACCACCACACUAAUCCUGGGGCUACCCUUCUGGACUUUUUUUUUUUUUUUCACUUUCAUAAAUGUCCUCAUCAUUUAAGCCUGUAGGUUAGGUUUUCUCUUUCUUGUCUCUGAAUACAUCUUAAUACAAUCACAAAUGCAGUUUGACUCAAAAUAAUAUAACAUUGAUAGGAUACUGUGGAUCUCUGUCUAGCUCUGCUGUUUAUGUCCUAGGCACCCAUCCCCCAGCUGCUGGGAAUAUGGGCUGUUGACGGCUCAAGUUGUGAUAUGGAAUUGCUUCUCGCAAGGAUACAGACCCAAGCAGGGGGUGGCUGAUGUGCAGAUAAAGCCCUAACCCUCUCCCCUCAAUUUGAGACAACUCUGAAGGGCUAUCUAUAGGAGAAUGGCUAUGCCAUGACAUCCUGAUGACUUUUUAUGUAUCCGUAUAGUGAAGCCUUGAACCAUAGCUUAUCUGAGUCUUGGAGAAAUGCCUUGUGGUCCUCCCAGAACAAGAGAGGAUGGGAGGCCUGUAAGGAGCUACUAUGAGGCCAUCUCCCACUUGCCUCCCUAGCUCCCUCGGGAAACUGUUUUGAGUUGGUUGCUUAUUGCCUCCUAGGUUCUGAUGGAGUGUGGGGCUUUCUACCCCAUUGCCCCCAAAGCAGGGCUGCAGGUGAUAAAGCCACUUUGCUGCAAUCUAGAAUUGGUUUCUCAGCAACUGGGUAUCCCACAACGCAUGUGUCAGUCAUCCAGCCCCUGUCAUUUCAGUGCCAUCCUUUGUGAUACGUGGGACAAGGGUUGUGGGGACUGGAACCUUGGGCUUCUUCUUCUUUUUGUUAUCUAUGUAGGAAAUAAAGUGUCUAGAUCUAAGUGGCUCAUUGAAUCUUUACCAGCAGCAUCAUCAGCUUUUGGCCUUUGGCCCUGUCUUAUAUGUUUGAACUUGACACCCCUCAUAGUUCCCAAGGUUUCUGAAGGAUUGGCUGAGGCCUCAGGGACAACUGCAUUGCAGGCCAGCUUUUCUCUAUGCCCAAUGUACCUUCCUCUCUUCCCUACACAUGUUUCUCCCAAGAACAUUUCCCAGUGAGCCAGCACACAACUCUCUUAUUGUCUGUUUCCAAACCUAAGGUAAUUGGUCCUAGCAGUGGCCUUAGAAAGCAGACUGUAAAAUAGGUAAUUAAAGAUGGAUUAUUCACCCACCAGCUGGCAAGCAGGACCUCAUCACUUGUGGUGGACAGACCUCUGACAUGCUGUAAAGGUGCAGUUGUUAGAAUUUUCACCAAUGGUGAACUGAGAUGGGUGUUCACAGAAAAUGUGUACUGGAUGAAGCAACAUUGCUGGUGCUUGAGAGAUAAGGAGGAAAUUUUAACUAAAAGACUGGCAUUGGGUGGCUGUUGCUAACUGCUAUUGAUUUGUCAAAGAUAGUUCGUGACAGGAUCAGUGUGAUUAAUCAUCAAUUCAAGGCAAAUUAUGAAAGCCAGAGGGCCUCCUUACCAAACCCUAAUCUUCUAUAUCUAGAGCGCAAAUCUAGAGGAAGACCAAGCCCAGGAAUGAAUUACAUUAGCAAAGCUUCAGAGCAAGUUGAAAUCUUAGCCUCAGCAAAUCUCCCAUGCCAAAGCCAAGGCCUUAAUGAGGCAGGACUGCCACCCUGAGAUCUGGGGCUAUCUGGGUAAAUGCACUUGAGAUCUUGAAAUGCCAGACUACCCUGAACUCACUGGGCUUGCAGAGUGGUUCCUUUUUGGAAGAUAGUGAUACUCCUUCUCAUGCCUGGGGCAAUAAACCUUACAAAGUUUCAGGGACCUGUCAGGGAAGUUUUAGGAGUGUAGUGAUCUGGGCCAUGCCAGAAUAUCUCCUCCAAAGUAAAGAAAAAGUUAUUGGAUCUUUUCCUUCCUAUGACCAAGAGAGGUGCACAGCUCUUGGCAGGCUUCAUCAGUUCUGGGGGCAACAUAUUUAGAACUUAAGAAUACUGUCUUGACCUAAUUACCAAGUGACAUGAAAGGCUACUGGCUCCAAAUGGGGCCCAAAGCAAGCCAACCCAAGACACAGCCCUGCUGCUUCAGCCAUGUAAUUUGGCAGACCUUUAGGUACUGUAAGUAUCUGCAGUGGGAAAAGAUGCCAGAUGAAGUUGACAGUAAUCCCUAUUCAUAGGUCGGGUAGGCUCAGUAGCAUCACUGUUGGAUGAAAGUGGUACAUCUGUAAUUGGGCAUUAGCGGGGCCACAGGACAUUAGUAAGCUGCACAAACGGAGACUAUGCCAUUCAGCACGGUGGUCCUGACACCUCUGCAGCAGCCCACACCUAUGCCUGCAAGAGGGAUCUUGAAAAAUGCUUAUAACUGAGUGUGUUAUGGGCUGAGUUGUGCUCCAAUCCCCCAUUCAUAUGUUGAAAUCCUAACCCUUAGUACCUCAGAAUGUGACUGUUAUUUGUAGAUAGGGUCUUUAAAGAUGUAAUUAGGUUUAAAUGAGGUCAUUGAGGUGGACCCUAAUUCAGUAUGACUUGUGUCCUUAUAAGAAGAGGGGGUUAGGACGCAGACCUAGACAGAGGAACGAUCGUGUGAAGACACAGCAAGAACGCAGACUUCUGUAAAGCAGACAUCUACGUAUUUAUUUGUUUAUUUGUUAAUACAUAUGUAAACAUACGAGGAGGGAGGCCUCAGAGGAAACCAAACCUGCCAACAGCUUGACCUUGGACUUCUAGCCUCC